GUGAGGCUCCUAUGCAAACACAGGCUACUGUCCAGGAACAUCGAAAGAUGCCAAUGGGUAGAACAGAAAUUGUCAGUAAAGGGCAUUUCUAAUGUAGCUAUGGAUUUCAUCUAUUACGUUGCACAGUGCUAAAAUUCAAUCUAU
rnacentral:sRNA from 1 species